UACAGAGGUCCCGAGCGUUGUUCGGAUUCACUGGGCGUAAAGGGUGUGUAGGAGGUUGUAUAAGUCUGAUGUGAAAUCCCGUCGCUCAACGACGGAACUGCAUUGGAUACUGUUCAGCUAGAGGGUCUGAGGGGGAUGCGGAAUUCUUGGUGUAGCGGUGAAAUGCGUAGAUAUCAAGAGGAACACCGGUGGCGAAGGCGGCAUCCUGGAAGACAUCUGACUCUGAAACACGAAAGUCAGGGGAGCGAAUGGG
rnacentral:rRNA from 1 species